AUUGAACGCUGGCGGCAGGCCUAACACAUGCAAGUCGAACGAGUGGCGGACGGGUGAGUACUGUCUGGGAAACUGCCUGAUGGCGGGGGAUAACUACUGGAAACGGUAGCUAAUACCGCAUACCAUCGGAUGUGCCCAGCUGGGAUGAACUAGUAGGUGGGGUACCGGCUCACCUAGGCCACGAUCCCUAGCUGGUCUGAGAGGAUGACCAGCCACACUGGAACUGAGACACGGUCCAGACUCCUACGGGAGGCAGAAGUGGGGAAUAUUGCACAAUGGGCGCAAGCCUGAUGCAGCAAUGCCACGUGUAUGAAGAAGGCCUUCGGGUUGUAAAGUACUUUCAGCGGGGAGGCGUUACCCGCAGAAGAAGCACCGGCUAACUCCGUGCCAGCCGCCGCGGUAAUAC
rnacentral:rRNA from 1 species